rnacentral:rRNA from 1 species
ACACAUGCAAGUCGAGCGGGGGAAGGUAGCUUGCUACCGGACCUAGCGGCGGACGGGUGAGUAAUGCUUAGGAAUCUGCCUAUUAGUGGGGGACAACAUCUCGAAAGGGAUGCUAAUACCGCAUACGUCCUACGGGAGAAAGCAGGGGAUCUUCGGACCUUGCGCUAAUAGAUGAGCCUAAGUCGGAUUAGCUAGUUGGUGGGGUAAAGGCCUACCAAGGCGACGAUCUGUAGCGGGUCUGAGAGGAUGAUCCGCCACACUGGGACUGAGACACGGCCCAGACUCCUACGGGAGGCAGCAGUGGGGAAUAUUGGACAAUGGGGGGAACCCUGAUCCAGCCAUGCCG